rnacentral:snRNA from 1 species
UUACUUACCUGGACGGGGUCAACGGGCGAUCAAGAAGGCCCGUGGCCUGGGUCAAUGGCCCACAUUGCACCUGGUGGGUGCGUUGGCCCAUCAUCUCCCCAAGUGGGAGAAUGAACGUCAUAAUUUGUGAUAGAGGGGGUACGCGUUCGCGCGGCCCCUGC